rnacentral:misc_RNA from 1 species
GGAUAAUCUCACUUUGUGGACCUCUGAUAUGCAGGAUGAUGGGACAGACGAGAUCAAAGAUGCAUCCAAGCAUGAGGAGGAGCAAAAGCAAUGAAGUCACUUAACCUAGUGAUAAAUUUUACUUCUCCACUAUUUGUUUUUGUUCGGAGAAGUAGCUUGGUCCACUACUCCUAUUAUGAGUUUUCAGUAGUUGAUCCUUGUUUUAUUAAGCUUGGAAGUAUUUUUACUUCUUAGUUUUUUAUUUUAAUUUUUUAAAAUUCUGUUCAGGUCGUGAAUGCUUAACUUUCAAUUGUUUUUGUGACAAUCAAGGAACUAACGACCAUUAUUUACUUCUUCUUCCCUUUUUUUAAAAGUUCAAGCGUGAUUAUUCAUGGAAGACAUGUUCCUUGAAAUUGUGAGAUUGAUACAUGUGAGAUUCUAGUAGUAUGAUGAUGUUAUGUUGGCAGAGCUAUUUCCAAGUGAAUUGUUUUACUGUUUCUUCAUUGUGAUUGUCCUUGAAUCAUGUUUUUCCCUAAUUAAUAAAGAAUUUUUCCUAUUCUUAUAAUAAAA